GACCCAAUGGCACAACGGUUAGUGCGUUUGCUUUACUUAUACGAUGGACAAGAUAGUGGCAAGAGGUCCCCGUUCGAUUCGGGGUUGGGUCA